rnacentral:rRNA from 1 species
CCUACGGGAGGCAGCAGUGGGGAAUAGUGGACAAUGGGGGCAACCCUGAUCCAGCCAUGCCGCGUGUGUGAAGAAGGCCCUCGGGUUGUAAAGCACUUUCAGUGAGGAAGAACGCCUGGUGGUUAAUACCCAUCAGGAAAGACAUCACUCACAGAAGAAGCACCGGCUAACUCCGUGCCAGCAGCCGCGGUAAUACGGAGGGUGCGAGCGUUAAUCGGAAUUACUGGGCGUAAAGCGCGCGUAGGUGGCUUGAUAAGCCGGUUGUGAAAGCCCCGGGCUCAACCUGGGAACGGCAUCCGGAACUGUCAAGCUAGAGUGCAGGAGAGGAAGGUAGAAUUCCCGGUGUAGCGGUGAAAUGCGUAGAGAUCGGGAGGAAUACCAGUGGCGAAGGCGGCCUUCUGGACUGACACUGACACUGAGGUGCGAAAGCGUGGGUAGCAAACAGGAUUAGAUACCCUUGUAGUC